UAACCAUGCUAGGGGUGCCUGUAUAAGAGGCUGAGAUUAAACCCUUAACACCUGAGUCCGGGUAAUACCGGCGGAGGGAAGCUGUUACUACAGGAA
rfam:Mastigocoleus testarum BC008 Contig-10, whole genome shotgun sequence.